GACGUAGGUGGCGAACGUUAUCCGGAAUUAUUGGGCGUAAAGGGUGCGUAGGCGGCAUGAUAAGUUAUUGGCGGCAAAUCGAGGCUCAACCUCGUGGAAACUGAUAAUACUGUCUUGCUUGAGUGCAGAAGAGGUUAACGGAACUCCAUGUGGAGCGGUAAAAUGUGUAGAUAUAUGGAAGAACAUCAAUAACGGCGAAGGCAUUAACUAUUCUGUUACUGACGUUGAGGCACGAAAGCGAUGGGGAGCAAAAGG
rnacentral:rRNA from 1 species